UGCACUCCAGUCUGGACAACAGAGCAAGACCCUGUUUCAAAAAAAAAAAAAGAAAAUCACCAUUUUUCCAACCCCAACGAAACUACUGAUUCAGGCAGGAUGCAAGAGAGCUGAUGCCAAAGGGUCACAAACAGAUUACUUUCAGACUGAGAGGGAAAAGCACACUCUGCUGAGGGUAGACAGCUGUCUGUCAUCCUAAGCCAACGUCAGACUCAGCAUCUCCAACAGUGGAACAACCUGCCAUCCUUGCCACAUCUCUGGAUGGGAAGCUACCCAAAGUGCAUGGCACCUUCUAUUAAGCAGCUUUGCCAAAAAGGUUUGACCUGAACCUGAUGCAGGGUCUAGCUUCCAGUUUCCAGGGGAUACAAGGGCCAGACUCAGAGAAACAAUAGAAGAUGCCACAAGGAAACAAUCUGACAAAUCCAGAUGGAACAAGACACCUGAACUCUAGUGAUGGGAUCACUACCCAUCCACAACCUCCAGUCACCUCCAAGACACCUUUGACGCCUCCACUUUCCCAG
rnacentral:lncRNA from 1 species